GCCUCAGAUUGGUAGGACUACCCGCUG
rnacentral:rRNA from 1 species